CCUUUGACGUUAGCGGCGGACGGGUGAGUAACACGUGGGUAACCUACCUAUAAGACUGGGAUAACUUCGGGAAACCGGAGCUAAUACCGGAUAAUAUUUCGAACCGCAUGGUUCGAUAGUGAAAGGUGGUUUUGCUAUCACUUAUAGAUGGACCCGCGCCGUAUUAGCUAGUUGGUAAGGUAACGGCUUACCAAGGCGACGAUACGUAGCCGACCCGAGAGGGUGAUCGGCCACACUGGAACUGAGACACGGCCCAGACUCCUACGGGAGGCAGCAGCG
rnacentral:rRNA from 1 species